UGGGGAAUAUUGCACAAUGGGCGCAAGCCUGAUGCAGCCAUGCCGCGUGUAUGAAGAAGGCCUUCGGGUUGUAAAGUACUUUCAGUCGGGAGGAAGGCGAUAAGGUUAAUAACCUUGUCGAUUGACGUUACCCGCAGAAGAAGCACCGGCUAACUCCGUGCCAGCAGCCGCGGUAAUACGGAGGGUGCAAGCGUUAAUCGGAAUUACUGGGCGUAAAGCGCACGCAGGCGGUCUGUCAAGUCGGAUGUGAAAUCCCCGGGCUCAACCUGGGAACUGCAUUCGAAACUGGCAGGCUAGAGUCUUGUAGAGGGGGGUAGAAUUCCAGGUGUAGCGGUGAAAUGCGUAGAGAUCUGGAGGAAUACCGGUGGCGAAGGCGGCCCCCUGGACAAAGACUGACGCUCAGGUGCGAAAGCGUGGGGAGCAAACAGG
rnacentral:rRNA from 1 species